rnacentral:misc_RNA from 1 species
AACCAUUCUCACCUGCGGCUAGACCUGCGGAAGGAUCAUUACUUAUUUUUUGUUUAUUGAGUUUCACACUCUUUUAAACAUAAAAAAAAUCAUCCACAGUGUGGGAAAUGUCUCUCAUUUUAACGCUUGUGCCUGGUAUAGUCUAGUGCUACCACUUGAGUUUAUCUUUUAGUCAAUGGACUAUUAGAUAGUGCUUUUUUCCUUGGAAGAUUGCACCUCUUGUAAAAGGGGAUAAGAUUU